UACAGAGGUCUCAAGCGUUGUUCGGAUUCAUUGGGCGUAAAGGGUGCGUAGGUGGCGCGGUAAGUCGGGUGUGAAAUCUCGGGGCUUAACUCCGAAACUGCAUUCGAUACUGCCGUGCUUGAGGACUGGAGAGGAGACUGGAAUUUACGGUGUAGCGGUGAAAUGCGUAGAUAUCGUAAGGAAGACCAGUGGCGAAGGCGGGUCUCUGGACAGUUCCUGACGCUGAGGCACGAAGGCCAGGGGAGCAAACGGG
rnacentral:rRNA from 1 species